GUAUAGUUAAAAAACCAAGAGAAACAAAAGUUAAGUAUGUUUCCAAAUUGAAAUUGGAAAAUUCAGAGCUACUUCUUCAUUUUGUUAGCCAGCUUUUCAAGCUUCAAUGCAUCGAUCCAUUUCCUCCAUUCAACUAAGAUCUGGUGGUGGGUUUUGUUGAAAGCGGCGGUCUCUAUUCUAAUUUGGUCCUGCCAUGUGUUUGCGCUUAAGGUACCUGAUCCUCCAAUAAUGAUUGCUUGUGGUCUGGUCGUUCUUUGGUCUUAUGUAUCUCUACUAAGUUUUCUGGACUGGUUGGUUGUAUUUGGAUUGAGGAACAAAGCAUGGACACUAAUGAGCAAAAAGGAACAAGGCAGCUGAAAAGAUGAAGAAAAGAAGGCAUGAGGAUCGCCUAAUCCAUUGGGCGAAUCGCCGAAUGGCUGAUGUCUCGCCUAAUGUUCAAGUGUGCCAAGCCCUGAAGGAGAAAAUCAAGUAGGCGAUCGAAAGGAGCAGUCGGCGAGUCGCCGAACAGUUCCGCGAUGCAGUACCAUAUCGCCCAAAGUUACAGAGCUUGAAGAUGCUGAAGGCCAAAGCAAAAAGGCGAUGAAAUUGACCAAAGGGCAGAUCGCCGAGUGAAUCGGCGAUCCCGACUUACUGUGCCGAAUGGUCCUUCGCAACACAAUUUUUGACAACUAUAAAUAUAUUUUUAAAUU